GCUACUGUUAAGGAGAACUUGGAUAAAUCAGACUUGACAUCUAAUGUUUUGGAUGAACUUUAUUUCAGAGAUGGAAGUUUCGAUCCUCUUUGUCUGUGUGGGGUGGUACCUGUCUGUGUGGGGUGGUACCUGUCUGUGUGGGGUGGUACUUGUCUGUGUGGGGUGGUACCUGUCUGUGUGGGGUGGUACCUGUCUGUGUGGGGUGGUACCUGUCUGUGUGGGGUGGUACCUGUCUGUGUGGGGUGGUACCUGUCUGCGUGGGGUGGUACCUGUCUGUGUGGGGUGGUACCUGUCUGUGUGGGGUGGUACCUGUCUGUGUGGGGUGGUACCUGUCUGUGUGGGGUGGUACCUGUCUGUGUGGGGUGGUACCUGUCUGUGUGGGGUGGUACCUGUCUGUGUGGGUGGUACCUGUCUGUGUGGGGUGGUACCUGUCUGUGUGGGGUGGUACCUGUCUGUGUGGGGUGGUACCUGUCUGUGUGGGGUGGUACCUGUCUGUGUGGGGUGGUACCUGUCUGUGUGGGGUGGUACCUGUCUGUGAGGGUUGGUACCUGUCUGUGUGGGGUGGUACCUGUCUGUGUGGGGUGGUACCUGUCUGUGUGGGGUGGUACCUGUCUGUGUGGGGUGGUACCUGUCUGUGUGGGGUGGUACUUGUCUGUGUGGGGUGGUACCUGUCUGCGUGGGGUGGUACCUGUCUGCGUGGGGUGGUACCUGUCUGUGUGGGGUGGUACCUGUCUGUGUGGGGUGGUACCUGUCUGUGUGGGGUGGUACCUGUCUGUGUGGGGUGGUACCUGUCUGCGUGGGGUGGUACCUGUCUGCGUGGGGUGGUACCUGUCUGUGUGGGGUGGUACCUGUCUGCGUGGGGUGGUACCUGUCUGCGAGGGGUGGUACCUGUCUGUGUGGGGUGGUACCAGUCUGCGUGGGGUGGUACCUGUCUGUGUGGGGUGGUACCUGUCUGUGUGGGGUGGUACCUGUCUGUGUGGGGUGGUACCUGUCUGUGUGGGGUGGUACCUGUCUGUGAGGGUUGGUACCUGUCUGUGUGGGGUGGUACCUGUCUGUGAGGGUUGGUACCUGUCUGUGUGGGUGGUACCUGUCUGUGUGGGGUGGACCUGUCUGUGUGGGGUGGUACCUGUCUGUGUGGGGUGGUACUUGUCUGUGUGGGGGUGGUACCUGUCUGUGUGGGGUGGUACCUGUCUGUGUGGGGUGGUUACCUGUCUGUGUGGGGUGUUACCUGUCUGUGUGGGGUGGUACCUGUCUGUGUGGGGGUGGUACCUGUCUGUGUGGGGUGGUACCUGUCUGUGUGGGGUGGUACCUGUCUGUGUGGGGUGGUACCUGUCUGUGUGGGGUGGUACCUGUAUGCGUGGGGUGGUACCUGUAUGCGUGGGGUGGUACCUGUCUGUGUGGGGUGGUACCUGUCUGCGUGGGGUGGUACCUGUCUGCGAGGGGUGGUACCUGUCUGUGUGGGGUGGUACCAGUCUGCGUGGGGUGGUACCUGUCUGUGUGGGGUGGUACCUGUCUGUGUGGGGUGGUACCUGGUCUGUGUGGGGUGGUACCUGUCUGCGUGGGGUGGUACCUGUCUGUGUGGGGUUGGUACCUGUCUGUGUGGGGUGGUACCUGUCUGUGUGGGGUGGUACCUGUCUGUGA
ensembl:lncRNA